UAGGGAAUCUUCGGCAAUGGACGAAAGUCUGACCGAGCAACGCCGCGUGAGUGAAGAAGGUUUUCGGAUCGUAAAACUCUGUUGUUAGAGAAGAACAAGGACGUUAGUAACUGAACGUCCCCUGACGGUAUCUAACCAGAAAGCCACGGCUAACUACGUGCCAGCAGCCGCGGUAAUACGUAGGUGGCAAGCGUUGUCCGGAUUUAUUGGGCGUAAAGCGAGCGCAGGCGGUUUCUUAAGUCUGAUGUGAAAGCCCCCGGCUCAACCGGGGAGGGUCAUUGGAAACUGGGGGACUUGAGUGCAGAAGAGGAGAGUGGAAUUCCAUGUGUAGCGGUGAAAUGCGUAGAUAUAUGGAGGCACACCAGUGGCGAAGGCGGCUCUCUGGUCUGUAACUGACGCUGAGGCUCGAAAGCGUGGGGAGCAAACAGG
rnacentral:rRNA from 1 species